UGCUGAUCUCAGACCCCCAGCUUACCACUUUGCUUGAAAGUCUGCACUUUGCUGUGCUCGAGGGGCAGGACAGCACCACUUCUACAUCCCAGCACAAUCAAGGAUGUCAACAGUUCCAGCUAGCAGGGUGGAUAAGCUGAGAGCCAUAUUUCAAGGGAUCUACCCUCUGCAAGUGGAGUGGUUGGAAAAAGAGAUAACCCUUACAGAGAUCUUUCAGCCUGAAGCACAGAGGA